rnacentral:rRNA from 1 species
GUCAACGGUCAUAGCGGACGUGAAACACCCGUUCUCAUCCCGAACACGGAAGUUAAGCCGUCCAGCGAUCCGGGUGGUACUGCAUAAUAUGUGGGAAUCCCGGGACGCUGUUGACC